CGGGUAGCCGGCCUGAGAGGGCGACCGGCCACACUGGGACUGAGACACGGCCCAGACUCCUACGGGAGGCAGCAGUGGGGAAUAUUGGGCAAUGGACGAAAGUCUGACCCAGCGACGCCGCGUGCGGGAUGAAGGCCUUCGGGUUGUAAACCGCUUUCAGCAGGGAAGAAGCGAAAGUGACGGUACCUGCAAAAGAAGCACCGGCUAACUAUGUGCCAGCAGCCGCGGUAAUACAUAGGGUGCAAGCGUUGUCCGGAAUUAUUGGGCGUAAAGAGCUCGUAGGUCGUUAAUUACGUCGGGUGUGAAAAUCUGGGGCUCAACCCCAGACCUGCACUCGAUACGGGUUAGCUAGAGUUUGGUAGGGGAGACU
rnacentral:rRNA from 1 species